AUUGAACGCUGGCGGCAGGCUUAACACAUGCAAGUCGAACGAUGACUCUCUAGCUUGCUAGAGAUGAUUAGUGGCGGACGGGUGGGUAACAAUUAGGAAUCUACCUAUUAGUGGGGGAUAGCUCGGGGAAACUCGAAUUAAUACCGCAUACGACCUACGGGAGAAAGGGGGCGCAAGCUCUUGCUAUUAGAUGAGCCUAAAUCAGAUUAGCUAGUUGGUGAGGUAAAGGCCCACCAAGGCGACGAUGUGUCACUGGUCUGAGAGGGUGAUCAGUCACACCGGAACUGAGACACGGUCCAGACUCCUACGGGAGGCAGCAGGAGGGAAUUUUCCGCAAUGGGGGAAAGCCUGACGCAGCCACGCCGCGUGAGUGAAAAAGGUCUUUUGAUCUUAAAACUCUUUUAAGAGGGAAGAAGAAAUUAGUAAUUAACUCCCCAUGGAUUGACGGUACCUUACCAAAAAGCCACGGCUAACCACGUG
rnacentral:rRNA from 1 species